rnacentral:rRNA from 1 species
GAUGAAGCUUCUAGCUUGCUAGGCGGAUUAGUGGCGCACGGGUGAGUAACGCAUAGAUGACAUGCCCUUUAGUUUGGGAUAGCCACUAGAAAUGGUGAUUAAUACCAAAUACCACCCUACGGGGGAAAGAUUUAUCGCUAAAGGAUUGGUCUAUGUCCUAUCAGCUUGUUGGCGGGGUAAGAGCCCACCAAGGCAAUGACGGGUAUCCGGCCUGAGAGGGUGAACGGACACACUGGAACUGAGACACGGUCCAGACUCCUACGGGAGGCAGCAGUAGGGAAUAUUGCUCAAUGGGCGCAAGCCUGAAGCAGCAACGCCGCGUGGAGGAUGAAGGUUUUAGGAUUGUAAACUCCUUUUGUGAGAGAAGAUAAUGACGGUAUC